rnacentral:rRNA from 1 species
AGUGAACGCUGGCGGUAGGCCUAACUCAUGCAAGUCGAACGGCAGCACAGUAAGAGCUUGCUCUUACGGGUGGCGAGUGGCGGACGGGUGAGGAAUACAUCGGAAUCUACUUUUUCGUGGGGGAUAACGUAGGGAAACUUACGCUAAUACCGCAUACGACCUACGGGUGAAAGCAGGGGAUCUUCGACCUUGCGCGAUUGAAUGAAGCGAUGUCGGAUUAGCUAGUUGGCGGGGUAAAGGCCCACCAAGGCGACGAUCCGUAGCUGGUCUGAGAGGAUGAUCAGCCACACUGGAACUGAGACACGGUCCAGACUCCUACGGGAGGCAGCAGUGGGGAAUAUUGGACAAUGGGCGCAAGCCUGAUCCAGCCAUACCGCGUGGGUGAAGAAGGCCUUCGGGUUGUAAAGCCCUUUUGUUGGGAAAGAAAAGCAGCAGGUUAAUACCCCGCUGUUCUGACGGUACCCAAAGAAUAAGCACCGGCUAACUUCGUG